rnacentral:rRNA from 1 species
AUAAUAAUUUGUCUUAUAAUUGAAGUCUGGAAUGAAUGGUUUAAUGAGAAGAGAUCUGUCCCCUUUUUAAAAAUUGAAUUUCAUAGUUAAGUAAAAAAGCUUAAAUAAAUUUUUAAGACGAUAAGACCCUAUAAAGCUUUACUUAUAUUUGAUAAAAUGUAAGCAUAUUUAAAUCACUUAAGUUAAGCUGGGGCGGCAAUUUAAUUAAACAUUUUUAGUUAAAACAUAUUGAAUGAAUCAAGAUAAUGAGGAUUUCCUAAUUUAAAAUCAAGUUACUUUAGGGAUAACAGCACAAUUAAAUCUAAGAGUUCUUAUCGAAGAAAAAGAUUGU